UGUCUGCUUCUCUCAGCGCUCUGAGGUGAAGGCUUCUUCAUGAAUGAUUCAGUCUGCUUCAUGCAUCUACAACAUCCACUCGUGAAGAGCCCUGACCUGCACGUCUCUGGUGCAUUCCCAAUAGACAUGCCAGCUGCAUCACCUGUCUCUAAUCUAGGGUGUCAGGCUCGGCGUCCAUGCAGGUCUCCCAGGGAUUACGCGGCAUGUGGGGCAUGGAAAUGAGUAGCAGGGCAGCUCCACUGAGGAUGAGGAGAGUGAAGGAGGCGCAGGCGCAGAAAUGAUGAUGCAGAGACCUGCGUGCCAAAACAGAAAGAAAAGCAGAUGCUUCACUUCAGUGGAAGUGAUUGUGUUGACACAACAGUUUGAUCAUAUUUACACUCAUAGAUUCUCAGUUUAUUUAGCUUUGAAUCUGUGACAGUAGACGUGAAGCUGGAUGGGAAAUCAAACUAUCCAGAAUAAACACUUCAACAGAAUAAGUUCCAUAAUCUCCAGACGUGCAAUUACGGUAAUUUUGAUGAUUUGACAACAUCAUUUCUAACGAAUAAAAAAAACAACAUUUAAUCAAUUGAAAGCACAAUUAAAUUUCUGAAUUCAAUUUGAAUCCCUUCUCAUUUUGAUCUUGUUGUACAUAAUGUUUAAAAACAUCUCUCAUACUAACUUCAGUGCAUAAAACAAACUAUUAUGGAUGUUUGUGAAAUGCAUAUUAGCUGAACUUAACUGAAAUAGAAAUGAGCAAAGCUUCAGGGAAACAAACUGCUGCAGAAGGAAAGUUUACUAAAGUUACUAUAGACUAAAUUUACUCCCAAGAGUUAACUCAAAGUAGUUUUUUCUUAUGCCAAACAACUCAAGAAAAUGACUCUCGUUGAUGGCUAUUUUCAAGAGUCAGAAAAAGAAUCAAAAGUUGAAAUUUACAACCUCCAUGAUGCUCUCUGUCAAUAUAACUGCCAUUGCCUUUUAGGUAGGCGUA